GACGAACGCUGGCUGCGUGCUUAACACAUGCAAGUCGAACGCUGAAGCCUGGUGCUUGCACCGGGUGGAUGAGUGGCGAACGGGUGAGUAACACGUGAGUAACCUGCCCCUGACUUCGGGAUAAGCCCGGGAAACUGGGUCUAAUACCGGAUACGACCGUCGGACGCAUGUCUGGUGGUGGAAAGUUUUUUCGGUUGGGGAUGGGCUCGCGGCCUAUCAGUUUGUUGGUGAGGUAAUGGCUCACCAAGACGACGACGGGUAGCCGGCCUGAGAGGGCGACCGGCCACACUGGGACUGAGACACGGCCCAGACUCCUACGGGAGGCAGCAGUGGGAAUAUUGCACAAUGGGGGAAACCCUGAUGCAGCGACGCAGCGUGCGGGAUGACGGCCUUCGGGUUGUAAACCGCUUUCAGCAGGGAAGAAGCGAAAGUGACGGUACCUGCAGAAGAAGUACCGGCUAACUACGUGCCAGCCGCCGCGGUAA
rnacentral:rRNA from 1 species